rnacentral:rRNA from 1 species
CGGGGUGCCCAGGCGCGAAAACUUUGCAAUACACGAAAGUGUGACAGGGCUAUCCCGAGUGCCAUCCGCUGAGGAAGGCUUUUACCCAGUCUAGAACGCUGGGGGAAUAAGGAGAGGGCAAGUCUGGUGUCAGCCGCCGCGGUAAUACCAGCUCUCCGAGUGGUGUGGAUGUUUAUUGGGCCUAAAGCAUCCGUAGCUGGCUAAGUUAGUCCCUUGUUAAAUCCACCGAAUUAAUCGUUGGAUUGCGGGGGAUACUGCUUGGCUAGGGGACGAGAGAGGCAGACGGUAUUUCCGGGGUAGGGGUGAAAUCCUAUAAUCCCGGGAAGACCACCAGUGGCGAAGGCUGUCUGCUAGAACGCGCCCGACGGUGAGGGAUGAAAGCUGGGGGAGCGAACCGGAUUAGAUACCCGGGUAGUCCCAGCUGUAAACGAUGCAGGCUAGGUGUUUGGACGGCCACGUGCCGUUCUAGUGCCGCAGGGAAGCUGUUAAGCCUGCCGCCUGGGGAGUACGAUCGCAAGAUUGGAACUUAAAGGAAUUGGCGGGGGAGCAC